UAGAGUUUGAUUUUGGCUCAGGAUGAACGCUAGCUACAGGCCUAACACAUGCAAGUCGAGGGGCAGCGCAGGAGAUGCUCGCAUCUCCGGGCGGCGACCGGCGGAUGGGUGAGUCACGCGUAUCCAACCUGGCCUUCGCGCGGGAAUAGCCCUUGGAAAUGAGGAUUAAGACCCGAUACGCCCAUUGGCCGCAUGGCCGGCGGGUGAAGGAAUGCGGAGGAUGGGGAUGCGUUGGAUUAGCUCGAUGGCGGGGCAACGGCCCACCAUGGCGACGAUCCACAGGGGUUCUGAGAGGAAGGUCCCCCACACUGGCACUGAGACACGGGCCAGACUCCUACGGGAGGCAGCAGUGAGGAAUAUUGGUCAAUGGGCGAGAGCCUGAACCAGCCAAGUAGCGUGCAGGAUGACGGCCCUACGGGUUGUAAACUGCUUUUGCUGGAGAAUAAAACGCCCCACGUGUGGGGCCUUGCAUGUAUCCAGUGAAUAAGGACCGGCUAAUUCCGUGCCAGCAGCCGCGGUAAUACGGAAGGUCCGGGCGUUAUCCGGAUUUAUUGGGUUUAAAGGGAGCGCAGGCGGAGGAUCAAGCCAGCCGUCAAAUGUCGGGGCUCAACCCCGUUGAGCGGUUGGAACUGGUUCCCUUGAUUGCGGGAGAAGAAGGCGGAACUCGUGGUGUAGCGGUGAAAUGCAUAGAUAUCACGAAGAACUCCGAUUGCGAAGGCAGCCUUCCGGCCCGCCAAUGACGCUCAUGCUCGAAGGCGCGGGUAUCAAACAGGAUUAGAUACCCUGGUAGUCCGCGCAGUGAACGAUGAGUGCCCGCCUUCUGUGGGAUGUCCAUGGGAGGCCAAGCGAAAGCGUUAAGCACUCCACCUGGGGAGUACGCCGGCAACGGUGAAACUCAAAGGAAUUGACGGGGGCCCGCACAAGCGGAGGAACAUGUGGUUUAAUUCGAUGAUACGCGAGGAACCUUACCCGGGCUUGAAAUGUGCCUGGCGAUUCCUGGAGACGGGAAUCUCCUUCGGGCAGGCAUGUAGGUGCUGCAUGGUUGUCGUCAGCUCGUGCCGUGAGGUGUCGGCUUAAGUGCCAUAACGAGCGCGACCCCUUCCGCCGGUUACCAUCGGGUAACGCCGGGGACUCCGGCGGCACUGCCAUCGCAAGAUGCGAGGAAGGCAGGGAUGACGUCAAAUCAGCACGGCCCUUACGUCCGGGGCCACACACGUGUUACAAUGGGGGGCACAGCGAGCUGGGCCAUGGCGACAUGGCCCGAAUCAGGAAAUCCCCUCCCAGUUCGGACUGGAGUCUGCAACCCGACUCCACGAAGCUGGAUUCGCUAGUAAUCGCGCAUCAGCCAUGGCGCGGUGAAUACGUUCCCGGGCCUUGUACACACCGCCCGUCAAG
rnacentral:rRNA from 1 species